rnacentral:rRNA from 1 species
GACGUAGGUGGCGAACGUUAUCCGGAAUCAUUGGGCGUAAAGGGUGCGUAGAUGGCAUGAUAAGUUAUUAGUGGGAAACCGAGGCUCAACCUCGUGGAAGCUAGUAAUACUGUUUUGCUCGAGUGCAGAAGAGGUUAACGGAACUCCAUGUGGAGCGGUAAAAUGCGUAGAUAUAUGGAAGAACAUCAAUAACGGCGAAGGCAGUUAACUAUUCUGUUACUGACAUUGAGGCACGAAAGCGUGGGGAGCAAAACGG